UCGGGAAUUUUGGGCAAUGGGCGAAAGCCUGACCCAGCAACGCCGCGUGAAGGAUGAAGUAUUUCGGUAUGUAAACUUCGAAAGAAUAGGAAGAAUAAAUGACGGUACUAUUUAUAAGGUCCGGCUAACUACGUGCCAGCAGCCGCGGUAAUACGUAGGGACCAAGCGUUGUUCGGAUUUACUGGGCGUAAAGGGCGCGUAGGCGGCAAUUCAAGUCAUCUGUGAAAUCUCCGGGCUUAACUCGGAACGGUCAGAUGAUACUGCUUUGCUAGAGUGCAGAAGGGGCAAUCGGAAUUCUUGGUGUAGCGGUGAAAUGCGUAGAUAUCAAGAGGAACACCUGAGGUGAAGACGGGUUGCUGGGCUGACACUGACGCUGAGGCGCGAAAGCCAGGGGAGCAAACGGGAUUAGAUACCCGUGUAGUCCCUG
rnacentral:rRNA from 1 species